rnacentral:lncRNA from 1 species
AUGGCAGCGCUCGCCGACACCACGAAGUCACCGCGGCAGCUCGAGCGGGGCGCACCGCACGGCAAACCCGCCUGCUGCAAACUCCCCCCGGUGCCCUCCCGCCCUGAGCGGGGCCGCCCUCCCUCUCCCGGGAAACACGACCCCCGGGGAGCCAGCCGACCCGCCUCGGAGGGGCGAGUGAGAGCCCACAAACUCCCCGUUCGGCCCGAAAGUGCGCUGCGCUGCGCCCGGUCCUCGGAGUGCCCUGCCCGCGCUGGGGGAGAAGGCGUGUCGGCUGCCCAGAACUUUCCACCGCGCUUCCUUCUCCCCAAAGUGUGCACGGUGAACAAAGCCGGGCUGCCCAUCGCCCUCGCAGCGCCAGCAAGUCCCCGGGCAACGGCCGUCGAGGGGACCAGCGGGAGCAGUGGGCCCCGGCAGCGCGCUGCUGGGUGUGCGGGGUGAGGGCCCCUAGCUCCCUAGAAGGAAUGAUCCUAUUGGCCCAGGCUGCUGCCACGCCUCCCUUGAGCCUCCCUUGAGCUCUGGGAGCAGCUGGCAAGGGAAGGAGGCCCCCACCAGCAGGAGGGUCAGGAGCAGAGAGGGGGACACUUGCCCCAGGCAGGCCAGCAGGUGCGGCUGGGUAUCCCUGCCCAGCUCUGAGGGCAGCAGCCCGGCAAGGCUGGGGGUGGGGCAGCAUCUCCCACACCCGGGGAGGAGUGUCUAGCAGUCCAGGUCUCAGGCACUGUCCCUAGGGGUGGGCAAGUGGGCUGGGGGGAGAAACCGCCUGGGGUGCCCCCUCCCACACGGAAGCCCCGAGUCCAAGUCCAAAUUUUGCUUCUGAUCCAGCUUCCCACCAAGGCGCACCCUGGGAGGCAGCAGAUGGUGGCUCAAGCCCUUGGGCCCCCGUCACUCAUGUGGGAGAGCCAGACGGAGUUCCAGGCUCCUAGCCUCGGCCAGCCCCAUCCCUGGCUCCCUGCCUAUUGUGGGCAUUUGGGGAGUGAACCAGCAGAUGGAAGAUGUCUCUGUCCGUCUCUCUGUAGCUCACUCUAUCUCUAUAUCUCUCUCUGUCUUGCCCUGUCUCUCUGGCUUUCAAAUAAAUUAAAAUUUAAAACAAAGUUAAAAACCUAG